rnacentral:rRNA from 1 species
AUUGAACGCUGGCGGCAUGCUUUACACAUGCAAGUCGAACGGCAGCGCGGGCUUCGGCCUGGCGGCGAGUGGCGAACGGGUGAGUAAUGCAUCGGAACGUGCCCAGUAGUGGGGGAUAGCCCGGCGAAAGCCGGAUUAAUACCGCAUACGACCUGAGGGUGAAAGCGGGGGACCGAAAGGCCUCGCGCUAUUGGAGCGGCCGAUGUCGGAUUAGCUAGUUGGUGGGGUAAAGGCUUACCAAGGCGACGAUCCGUAGCUGGUCUGAGAGGACGACCAGCCACACGGGGACUGAGACAGGGCCCAGACUCCUACGGGAGGCAGCAGUGGGGAAUUUUGGACAAGGGGGGCAACCCUGAUCCAGCCAUGCCGCGUGCGGGAAGAAGGCCCUCGGGUUGUAAACCGCUUUUGUUCGGGAAGAAAUCCUCUGGGCUAAUACCCCGGGGGGAUGACGGUACCGGAAGAAUAAGCACCGGCUAACUACGUG